rnacentral:lncRNA from 1 species
AUUUUUCAGAAUUUAGAGGUUUUCGGUUGUUUUUGAGCUAGAAAAUAUUUCCUUCGCACUUUACUUGUUUUACUAUACGUGGAGGAAAAGUGCCGUUUUGUUUCGUUUGUUGAUGCAACAAUUCACUAUCAAGAAAGAUUAACUAUUUUUUCAAGGUAAGAUUCGUGAAACUAUUUUUACUUUGUAGAACUUUGCUAGUUGCUAGAUAUAAAAUGACUCUCGAAAAUGAGUCAAAUGACUAUAAUAUAAGUCAAAAACUCAUGCUACAAUAUAUAUACAGCAAAUAUUUCAAUAGCAGACACAUGAACCGGGAUACGGACAUAUAAAUCCUGUUUAUAAUCGUUGAAAAUUGUGGACAUGAAAUUAUGUUGUUUAAUUUUAUUGUGUUUUUUAUUGCCAGUUUUUAAUAAUUUAUAAUAAUUGUGGUUGUUCACAUGCUCACACGGUCGUACAGAUUAUAUAUUGUGUGAAUCAGGAUUAAUAUAUAGAUAAGCACAAAGACAGAGAGUGUGGGACAGAGGGAAAAAAUACCCAGGACCUGAGAGUGUUCAAAGCAGUUAGCAAAAGUUGGAUAAGCAUGACUGCUUGCCUACGAUGUGGUUUAGAGAUAAGAUAUGGUAUAACUGAAACUAUCUUUUGAGUUAUAUUUAACAAUCUCUCUCAGUAGGUUUAGCAGCAAGUGAUAGUCCAGAAACUGCACAGACUUCAUGUCCUGUGAACAAGGCUGCAUUGCAUUCCCCCACAUUGAACAAGUCUCACUGAGCUUGGACAAGCAAGUCCUACUUUUGCCAGGCUUUUUGUAGCAGUGUUUAUAUAUGGGGUUGUGUGGCAGUGGUGGCCACUUAUUGUGGGGGGGAGGGGGGGAUUUAGGUUGCCAGAUCCAUACGACCAUGUGCACUUUAUGUUGUUGGAUAUCGUAGUUCUUUAAACUUUUUUGCCUUAACCCAUGGAGCACCAUGCAGUGCUGUCCCCUUGACAAGUAAAAUUGUCUGGCAUUAGACAGAUUGUGUAAAAUAAUCUGGUGUUUGACAGAGUAAGAUUAACUAAAGUUGGGCACAUUGGGUAUGCAGAUAGUUUGAUUUAUAUUCCAUUGAGUGCCAUGAGCACUAGCUCCAAGUGACAGUAAAAUAGUCAUGCAUAACCAUGCAGAAGAUUGUCUGAUUAACCCACUGAGUGGCAGUGCUCUCCCAUAAAGUACAUCAGGGUGCAUUGCCACUUAAAGGGUUAACAUAUAUGCAAUACAUAUUAUAUUUUUGUUAAUUACUAAAGAUGUGUAAUAACAUGAUUAUGGUAUAAUAAUGAUGAUCUGUUUAAUUAAUACAGGUACCAGAAGUGAUGGCACAGGAUGCCAAAAUGGAGAAGAACAAAUUGAAGUUAUGGCACAACCCUUUUUUAUUGACAAUAAAGAGUACUACACACAGUCACAUUUAAUUUUUUAACACUACAGCACAUUAAAUCUAAAAUUUAAUGUACAUCUUUGUGUCUAAAUGUAGUAUGUCCAUGUUUGUACAAUUGUAUAGCAGGGACUGAGAGAGCAGAAAAGAAAGUUAGUUAUUAUAUUGUAUUAAAAUAUAUUCAACAACCUUUUAUCAGAUUAAUAUAACACAAGGUGAUACCCAAGUGUUUUAAUAGAUGUGAUGAAACAUGUACUGUAAGUG